rnacentral:tRNA from 1 species
GGUCCUGUGGUGCAGUGGUUAUCACGUCUGCUUUGCACGCAGAAGGUCUCCGGUUCGAUCCCGGCCAGGUCCU